rnacentral:rRNA from 1 species
CGAACGCUGGCGGCGUGCCUAAUACAUGCAAGUCGAGCGGAGUUGAUGAGGUGCUUGCACCUCUGAUGCUUAGCGGCGGACGGGUGAGUAACACGUAGGUAACCUGCCUGUAAGACUGGGAUAACCCACGGAAACGUGAGCUAAUACCGGAUAGGCGAAACUCUCGCAUGGGGGUAAUCGAGAAAGGCGGAGCAAUCUGCCACUUACAGAUGGACCUGCGGCGCAUUAGCUAGUUGGUAGGGUAACGGCCUACCAAGGCGACGAUGCGUAGCCGACCUGAGAGGGUGAUCGGCCACACUGGGACUGAGACACGGCCCAGACUCCUACGGGAGGCAGCAGUAGGGAAUCUUCCGCAAUGGGCGAAAGCCUGACGGAGCAACGCCGCGUGAGUGAUGAAGGCCUUCGGGUCGUAAAGCUCUGUUGCCAAGGAAGAACAGCCGAGAGAGUAACUGCUCUCGGAAUGACGGUACUUGAGAAGAAAGCCCCGGCUAACUAC